UUAUUAUGAAUUAAAUUAGCCAACAAUAUAACUGCCUACAAGUCUAUCUGGAAUGAUUAGACCAUUAAAGACUAAACUGGGAAGAUUUUUCUGCAUUGAGUAC